rnacentral:rRNA from 1 species
AUGGCCACGCCCUUCCUCGCCUCCCUUGGCCACACCAUCACGGAGAAGCUCACCCGUGAAAACUUCCUGGUAUGGAAGGCGCAAGUCCUCCCGCAUGUCAGGGUUGCGGCGAUGAUGGGUUUUCUUGAUGGCUCAAUCAAAGAACCUGUUGCUGUCAUCGUCACCGAGAAGGAGACCGCUGGGAAGAAGGAGACCACUUCCACGCCGAACCCGGAGCAUGCGAUCUGGGUUACCCAAGAUCAACAGGUGCUCACUUUUUUGCUCACCACUUUGUCUCGCGAGGUUUUGCUGCAGGUCUCCAAUCACACCACGGCCGCGGGUGUCUGGCAAUCCCUGGUCGAGAGCUUCUCUGCGCAGUCCAGAGCGCGCUAG